rnacentral:rRNA from 1 species
GGGAACGGGUUUCCGGAAUUAUUGGGCGUAAGAGCUCGUAGGCGGUUUGUCGCGUCUGCCGUGAAAGUCCGGGGCUCAACUCCGGAUCUGCGGUGGGUACGGGCAGACUAGAGUGAUGUAGGGGAGACUGGAAUUCCUGGUGUAGCGGUGAAAUGCGCAGAUAUCAGGAGGAACACCGAUGGCGAAGGCAGGUCUCUGGGCAUUAACUGACGCUGAGGAGCGAAAGCAUGGGGAGCGAACAGGAUUAGAUACCCUGGUAGUCCAUGCCGUAAACGUUGGGCACUAGGUGUGGGGGACAUUCCACGUUUUCCGCGCCGUAGCUAACGCAUUAAGUGCCCCGCCUGGGGAGUACGGCCGCAAGGCUAAAACUCAAAGGAAUUGACGGGGGCCCGCACAAGCGGCGGAGCAUGCGGAUUAAUUCGAUGCAACGCGAAGAACCUUACCAAGGCUUGACAUGAACCGGUAAUACCUGGGAACAGGUGCCCCGCUUGCGGUCGGUUUACAGGUGGUGCAUGGUUGUCGUCAGCUCGUGUCGUGAGAUGUUGGGUUAAGUCCCGCAACGAGCGCAACCCUCGUUCUAUGUUGCCAGCACGUGAUGGUGGGGACUCAUAGGAGACUGCCGGGGUCAACUCGGAGGAAGGUGGGGACGACGUCAAAUCAUCAUGCCCCUUAUGUCUUGGGCUUCACGCAUGCUACAAUGGCCGGUACAAAGGGUUGCGAUACUGUGAGGUGGAGCUAAUCCCAAAAAGCCGGUCUCAGUUCGGAUUGGGGUCUGCAACUCGACCCCAUGAAGUCGGAGUCGCUAGUAAUCGCAGAUCAGCAACGCUGCGGUGAAUACGUUCCCGGGCCUUGUACACACCGCCCGUCAAGUCACGAAAGUUGGUAACACCCGAAGCCGGUGGCCUAACCCCUUGUGGGAGGGAGCUGUCGAAAGUGGGACUGGCGAUUGGGACUAAGUCGUAACAAGGUAACC